CUUCCAGUGACUGUCAGGACAACCUCGGAGCGUGCGUGGCUCCUGCAGGUGGGUUUGCACAGAUGGACGGUGCACAAUGGUGCCAACCCCUAGCCCACCUCCGCCGUCCCACUCUGCCCAGUCUCAGGCAGCGUUGCCUGCUGCCAGCCGGUCUGAAGGCGCCUAUCUGGGGACAGUGGGGCAGGUCUCUACCUUCACCUGUUCCGAGGCUCUUCCUGGUCAGUUGCCUCUGCGCGCCAGAGGGUGGCACCCUAGGCACUCCGGAGGUGGAGUGGAAGGGAGAGUAAAGGAGGAAGAAAGGCGGAAGGAAAAGUUCAUUCUCAGACCCGGCCUCCAGUUUCCCGGGUGAAUUAGGGGGCAGAACCCCCUUUCAUAAUCCCUUAGGGUAAAAUCCUAAGGUUCUGCCCGACUAGAUAUCAGAGACGAAUUUCUAAGACGAAAAAGGCUUGCGAGGGUUAUUUAUAACCAAAUAACUUGUUCAGUCUGGGAAUCCGAAGAGAAGUUAAUUUCUGCGGCCGCUGCGGACACCGUUGCUGGAUUUGUGUGACUCGGUGAAGGAUGAUGCCCUGAGGGUGAUCUCCGCCUUUAACAUUCCACGCACCAAUCGCCGGAAUUCCCAACGCGAGGGCCACCUGGGCCUUCCACCUGAACCGAGACAGCGGCUGGCCGGGGAAGUGGCUCGCUCGCUCUCCGCGGCCCAAGCCGCAAGCUAAACUGUGACUGGAGUGGAGGGAACUGCGGUGGCUGGUCGGGAACUGCGGUGGCUGGUCGGCAGCUGCUCCACAGGGGCCUAGAAAUUGGGCAGAGGCCAGGAUGGCACGUGCGGUGUCGCAGCCCACUGGGAUUCUGGUCACCGAGCAGCAGUCUGGGACAGGCUGGCGAGACGCGGGGAAAGCGGCUGGGAGAGACCCAGACUGCCACCUAGACAGUGCAGUGCUUCACUCUCUCCAAAAACCCUGCCUGGCCCGGCCGCGACCUCGCCCAGCCUGGGCGCCUGAUCCCCC
rnacentral:lncRNA from 1 species